rnacentral:tRNA from 1 species
GCCGUCGUAGCUCAGGGGUAGAGCGUUUGUCUUGUAAACAAAAGGUCUCUGGUUCGAUUCCAGACUGCGGCA